UGCAGCAGUUGGAUCAUUUU
rnacentral:rRNA from 1 species